ACUCCCACAACCUACUGAGAAACACUACAGAUAGAAAAAGAUCACAUCACAGAUCUACCAAUGCAGGUAAUCGUACAUUUUGAUAAAUAUUUCAAGAGUAAAGCUUAAAUAUAGGAUCAAAAUCACAUUGUGCAUUCCCUCAAACUUUUGUGUGAUAAUGUGAAAAUCAUACAUAUUUACACCCAGAUAAAAAAAUAAAAACAUGCUUGGUCCAAAGACAAAUAAAUAUCUGUCUUUAUUGAAAUCCAAAUCAGGUGUAUGUGUCUGUAUGUGUGUACGUGUGUGUGUGUGUGUGUGUGUGUGCAUGUCCAUAAGAACAAGACUAAAAGGAUCUCUGACCUUAAGAGUUCUUAAUCAUUUUGCACUACAGUUUGGAGCAAAGAGUGCUUUAUAUUGGUCCUGAAUAGUUUCAGAGCUCAUCUGUCAAAUACUUCCAUCAGCGGUCAUCCAGAUUAUGUGGAUAGUUGUGCAGUUGAUGAAUUAUCCUUAGCAGCAAAUCUGGUACUUAACCUUGUGUACCUUUGUACACACGUUAACCUAAGUUAUUGAAAUUCAUUUUGUAGAUGUUCAAAUCAUGAGAUGUUUAAUUACAUUACUCUUUGUUUUAGCAUUGCAUUUGAAAUUCCUUUCCCCAACUUGAAAAGUUUCCUUUGGUUUUAGCAUAUCCAUCAAAUGUUUGGAAAUAGAACUAGAAACUAGAAAUCCAUCUGACAUUUUAUUUUCAGUUGGGUCUAGGGAAUCCUUAAGAUCUUGAUUCUUUUCUAAGUUUCUUUUUAUACAAUAUUUUACUUUCUGUGGGGUCCCAGGAAUCCUUAACACUGUUACUUUUAAAAAUAUCUUUGUUAAAUCUUUAACAUUUUUAUGCUUAUCUUCUUUUAGAAAAUGUGUUAGACCAAACCUCUGGUGGAAAACAUGAAUUUUCACAAAUUAUCCUUGAGGACAGACAGCAGCUGUCACCUGGUCUCAGUCUCUACUGAUGUAGAGCGCAUGUGCUUGGCAAAGGAGUGCUAAGCCUUGCUGCUUCAUACUCAGGGUAGCUCUUGUCUGUGGGUAAACAAAUUUGGCAGAGCAUCAUCUUCUUAAUAGAUUCCUGGCUCUUGUUUUCAUUUAAUUACAGUGCUUCUUCUAAAAGUGCUUUUGUCAUAUCUGAUACUAGAUAAGAUUCUUUACAGCAGUUUCCUUUGCAUCUGUUCCUCCUGUUACUUCUGCUUCACAUAUCUUUUGAGUCAUAAACUCUUUUAGUGUGGAGGGAAGAAUUUUCCCCUAGAUCCUUUCAUAUCUUUACCAUGCCUAUGGAAUGUUCCUGCUACCUCUAGCAGAUUCUACAUGAAGUAAAAACCAUAGUGGGAUUUAGAGAUAUGGUCAAAGUGAGAUUUUUGUAAAUAAAAAAAUUUAAUUAGAGAAAUUAAUUCCACUUUUACCCAUUGAACAGAUAAUUACUUCCUAGAUUUGUUUUAAUCUGAGUUGGAUCGGCUUAUUAUUAUCAUACUGUAGUGAAUAAUUAUAAUUUUAAAAAUUAGUGCAGUUUUUGGUAAAACAAGGAAAAAUAAAGAUCUUAAGAUGUUUUAAGUUAUGGCCAUGUCUCAUGAGUUGUGACAAAAUAAUGGCAAAGCAACUGGUUGAAGAGUAAAAAAAAAAAAAAAA
rnacentral:lncRNA from 1 species